rnacentral:miRNA from 1 species
GGUUAGCCAAAAAGUUCGUUCGGGGUUUUCUGUAACAUUGUAUGGAAAAACCCAAACGAACUUUUUGGCCACC